rnacentral:tRNA from 1 species
GGGUUUAUAACGUAGUGGUAAAGCACUUGAUCUUAAAUUAAGAAGUCACUAGUUCAAACUUGGUUAAGUCCU